UCCACUUUCAAGACCAAAUGCAUCUACUGUGUGUAUGACCAACAGUAGUACCAUGAACACAAGAGGCAGGUGAGCGAUAAACAGACCAUAAUGCAGAAGCCUAAUAACCACAGCAGCCGGUCUCCUAAGGUGAAGGAGAAGGACCUUCACCUGAUGAUGAUAAUGUCGUCUAUUGCUGUCUCACAUGACACACUAUUCCCUAUAUAGUAUAGUGCACUACUUUUGACUAGAGCCCACUCUUUUCCAUUAAGUGCACUACUUGUAACCAGAGCUACAUUGUGACAAGACCGGCUUUGUAGUAAACACUAGGAUUUGACAGUAUAAUCAGCCUACUAGUGUGUGGAUGUAUUCUGUGUUUUUUAACCCUGUCUUUACUCCCACUGAUGGUGAUACAGGACAAGAGCCUGGAGACUGUGGAGGCUACCCACUCAGCACCCUGGAAUAAACCACAUUCCUCUAAACUGGCUGAUCCAGGUAGUGACUAACUAUGGGAACGAACACGCAGGACAGCUGUCUGCCAUCACUGUGUUUAUGCUUUUCCCUGUCUCCCUGGCUCGUAUAUUCACCUCAAUACAAGUAUUUGUGAAUAGGCUUUACGUUACAUUUACAUUUGAGUCAUUCCGAAGAUGCACUUAUCCUGAGCGGCUUGUGUGUGUGUGUGUGAGUGUAUAUGCGUCCUAAAUGGAACCCUGUUCCCUAUAGUGCGCUCCUUUUGACCACAGCUCUAUUGUCCCUGGUCAAAAUGAGUGUACACUAAAGGGAAAAGUAAUCUUCUUUACACUCGAGGUUUAGGUCAGGGUCAAAGACACCAAGGUUUCUGGCCGUAGGCUUUACAUUGGUGGGCAAAUGACCUGGGUUAUUUCCAAACUGGGUUCUAUCAAGGUGAGGGGCCAAGUAAAACAACCUCUAUAAAAUGUGUCCACUGUAUGUCAGAGUGUGUAUAUGCGUCCCAAAUAUGUAUAUGGGCCCUGGUCAAAAGGAGUGCACUCUAAAGGGAAAAGGGUGCUGUUUGGGACUCAGACUGUGUGUGAUCCUGUCCUAAUCCAACAAACUCUUCUUCCUGGUUUCUCUCUGUAAACAGGAAACAGGUGACUCUCUGAUGGCCCUGACCUAUGUCAUAUCCUCUUCCUGUAACGGCCUCAUCGCUGCCCAGCUCCUGUACUACUGGAACAGCAGCUCCACACUGAAGAAGAAGAUGGAGUAGACUGGACACUAAGGCAGUCUGUAAUGGGAACCUAGUUUUGAAGUAGCGCACUAUAUAAAGACUGGUGUGCCAUUCAAGAUGCAGACAAUGACAGAGAGAUUAUAUUUUGACAAGUGUGUAUGGAUCUACAAUGACAGAGAUUAUAUAGACAAGUGUGUAUGGAUCUAAAAUGGCACCCUAUACCUAUGUAGUUCACUACUUAUGACAGGACUAUU